rnacentral:rRNA from 1 species
AACCAACAGGGAUUGCCCCAGUAACGGCGAGUGAAGCGGCAACAGCUCAAAUUUGAAAUCUGGCCCCCCCGCGGGCCCGAGUUGUAAUUUGCAGAGGAUGCUUUUGGCGCGGCGCCUUCCGAGUGCCCUGGAACGGGACGCCAUAGAGGGUGAGAGCCCCGUCUGGUCGGACGCCCAGCCUCUGUAAAGCUCCUUCGACGAGUCGAGUAGUUUGGGAAUGCUGCUCUAAACGGGAGGUAUAUGUCUUCUAAAGCUAAAUACCGGCCAGAGACCGAUAGCGCACAAGUAGAGUGAUCGAAAGAUGAAAAGCACUUUGAAAAGAGGGUUAAACAGUACGUGAAAUUGUUGAAAGGGAAGCGCUUGUGACCAGACUCGGGCGCGGCGAAUCACCCGGCGUUCUCGCCGGUGCACUUCGACGCGCCCGGGCCAGCAUCAGCUCGCCGCGGGGGACAAAGGCGCCGGGAACGUGGCUCCCCAGGGAGUGUUAUAGCCCGGCGCGCAACGCCCCGCGGCGGUCUGAGGUUCGCGCGUCCGCAAGGAUGCUGGCGUAAUGGUCACCAGUGACCCGUCUUGAAACACGGACCAAGGAGUCGUCCUCGUAUGCGAGUGUUCGGGUGUCAAACCCCUACGCGCAAUGAAAGUGAACGCGGGUGAGAGCCUCGCGGCGCAUCAUCGACCGAUCCUGAUGUUCUCGGAUGGAUUUGAGUAGGAGCAUACGGGGCCGGACCCGAAAGAAGGUGAACUAUGCCUGUGUAGGGUGAAGCCAGAGGAAACUCUGGUGGAGGCUCGCAGCGGUUCUGACGUGCAAAUCGAUCGUCAAACAUGGGCAUGGGGGCGAAAGACUAAUCGAAC